AGCCCCCAGCCCCCAGCCCGGCUCUCCGCUGCUCCCGCCUCCGCCUCUGAGACCCUGGCCAGAUCGGGGUCCCCCGCGGCCCAUUAACCCGGCGGCGGCCGGAGCCCCGUUCCAGACACCUUUGAUGGCUGCCCCUUGCUCCGUCUGGUCUGAGCGGACAAAUGAGGGAAAUUGAACCAUGGGAAGACUGGAAGACCUGGUUCCAGAUCUGUUUCUGCUUAGCUGAGUGAGCUGUUUCAUCACGUGCACAAUGAGACGGGCAGAUGACUUCCUGCUGUGAUGCUGGCGUUGUCCAUGCGUGGAGACAUUCUGACCUCACUGGGUACACACGUCUGGGUGUGGAUGGCUCUGCAAACCACCUGAUGCUCGUAAACAUGAAAACAGGAGUGAGGACACGUCGUGAGGAAGAGAGUGUUCUUCCUGGGAUGCUGGUUGCACGGAUGUGGGUUUAAUCAACAACUGAAGCCGGCACAAACACGUCAUGAUUCCCGAGGGCAGGCAGAUUCCUCAAAAGUCAGCUUCUUGGAAAAGACGGCACCCGAGCCCCACUGAGGCUCAUGACUGCAACCGGAGCCCCUGCGUCUCGCGCUGCCUCCUGGCAGACACAGAUGCAAGCCUGCCAGAGCUUGUGGACAGAGGCGGGGGGGUGGGGGAGGCA
rnacentral:lncRNA from 1 species